rnacentral:rRNA from 1 species
CCCUUAGACGGUCUGGGCCGCACGCGCGCUACACUGACCAGUGCAACAAGCAUCCGUCCUUGGCCGACAGGCCCGGGCAAUCUUUGAACGCUGGUCGUGAUGGGGAUAGACUUUUGCAAUUUUUGGUCUUCAACGAGGAAUUCCUAGUAAACGCAAGUCAUCAACUUGCAUUGAUUACGUCCCUGCCCUUUGUACACACCGCCCGUCGCACCUACCGAUUGAAUGGUCCGGUGAAGCCUCCGGAUUGGCGCGCACCUCGGUGCCGCCGAGAAGUUGGCUAAACCUUACCAUUUAGAGGAAGGUGAAGUCGUAACA